UACGGGGGGGGCAAGCGUUGUUCGGAAUUACUGGGCGUAAAGGGCUCGUAGGCGGCCGACUAAGUCCGACGUGAAAUCCCCCGGCUUAACUGGGGAACUGCGUCGGGGACUGGUCGGCUGGAGUUCGGGAGAGGGACGUGGAAUUCCAGGUGUAGCGGUGAAAUGCGUAGAUAUCUGGAGGAACACCGGUGGCGAAGGCGGCGUCCUGGACCGACACUGACGCUGAGGAGCGAAAGCCAGGGGAGCAAAC
rnacentral:rRNA from 1 species